AACAGUUAAUAUUGAUUUAGUGUCCCUAGUCCAUGCCUCAGUGGCAGAAGCUGGAGCAUGCAGCUGCUGGUAUUUCCUUCAUUUGCAUUAUGUGGCAGCUCUUUAAUACCCUCUGGCAGCAACUGAAAGUGAUACAUGAGCCAGAGGAUCUUUGUUGAGGGUGGAGAGAAUUUAGAGAUUUUGAAAUUAAUUUCCAAAUCAAAUUUGAAAGCACCUUGUGGUGAUGCUGUAGCAUCCUCCCUUAGCACAAGUGCUGUAUAACAGAGAUCUCCAGAUGUAACCAUGCCUUUUACAUUUUUAACUUUCUGCAAUUGUUUUAGCUUUGUUACCAUGUAGUUUCACAAGAUAGAAGUGUUUUUCAACUAGGAAGCAUACUGUUCCACCCAAAAAAGUAGCCCAGGGUUAAAGCUGUAAUUUAACCAGCCAUCCAGCAGAGGUCUCUGAACUUCAUGUUUUGUAAUAAGAGCAUUUCAAACAACAAAAUGAAACCCGAUUCCUUGUAAGACUUUGAGUAGCAUAUUUUCCUGAUUAGAUUUUAGAAUUACUGUGUUUCAUGUCUAGCAAGAUCAGCUCUGCUUAUUGAUGCUUAAAGAUGCUAAAGACUUGUGUUUUCAGAUGUAUUUAUCCUAACUAGAUGAAAGCCUGGUUACCAUUAAUUUUGCACCAUAAAAAGAAAUAAAGAACUUUAUAUGAAAAUGUAGAAGACAGAAGCAACUAUCAACAUUUUAUUGUGUCACCAGCGUUAUAAAGACAUUAAAGUAGCUUGCUGUUCUUUCUAUACAGCCUAUUCUAUUAAUUGAAUAAAGCUGCUAUUUGUAUGGCUUGAUUUA
rnacentral:lncRNA from 1 species